rnacentral:rRNA from 1 species
UGGGGAAUAUUGGACAAUGGUGGAAACCCUGAUCCAGCAAUGCCGCGUGAGUGAAGAAGGCCUUAGGGUUGUAAAGCUCUUUCGCCCGCGAAGAUAAUGACGGUAGCGGGAGAAGAAGCCCCGGCUAACUCCGUGCCAGCAGCCGCGGUAAUACGGAGGGGGCUAGCGUUGUUCGGAAUUACUGGGCGUAAAGCGUACGUAGGCGGAUGCGCAAGUUGGGGUUGAAAUCCCGGGGCUUAACCUCGGAAUUGCCCUCAAAACUGCACGUCUUGAGACCGAGAGAGGUAAGGGGAAUUCCUAGUGUAGAGGUGAAAUUCGUAGAUAUUAGGAAGAACACCAGUGGCGAAGGCGCCUUACUGGCUCGGUACUGACGCUGAGGUACGAAAGCGUGGGGAGCAAACA